GCCAGACUCCUACGGGAGGCAGCAGUGGGGGAUAUUGCACAAUGGGGGGAACCCUGGUGCAGCGACGCCGCGUGGGUGAAGAAGUAUUUCGGUAUGUAAAGCCCUAUCGGCAGGGAAGAAAUUGGACGGUACCUGACUAAGAAGCCCUGGCUAACUACGUGCCAGCAGCCGCGGUAAUACGUAGGGGGCAAGCGUUAUCCGGAUUCACUGGGUGUAAAGGGAGCGUAGACGGCCAUGCAAGCCUGGAGUGAAAGCCCGGGGCCCAACCCCGGGACUGCUCUGGGAACUGUGCGGCUGGAGUGCGGGAGGGGCAGGCGGAAUUCCUGGUGUAGCGGUGAAAUGCGUAGAUAUCAGGAGGAACACCGGCGGCGAAGGCGGCCUGCUGGACCGCGACUGACGUUGAGGCUCGAAAGCGUGGGGAGCAAACAGGAUUAGAUACCCCUGUAA
rnacentral:rRNA from 1 species